AUAUUGUUGAGAAUACCAAAAGUCACACUUAUACAUAUACACAUGGUGUGUGUGUGGGAAGGGGAUGAACAAUGAAGAUCUCAGAGAGAGGCAAAGCCCUCUCCUCUCUUUGUUCUCUCCCUCUCUUUCAAAGAACGUUUUUGUUUCCUUUUGUAUGCACAUGCGUACCCUUGCCACUUACUUGAAGACAACGAGAGCGUGCGGUUAUGGGCCCAGUCACAAUUUGCAGCUAAGUGCUAUAGAAAAAUGCUUUAAUUGUUACCGAAUAAUAAAAGUGAAAUAAAAAAAAAAAUGAAA